GACCGGCGCCUGGACGACUUUCAGGGGAGAGCUGGAAGAAAGACUGUCAACAGCUGAGUGCGGGCGCCGGCGCCGUCUACGCAGUGCGUUCCACCGGGUCCGUAUCCCUCCCGAUUCCGCCCCACCCCGCCCUCGGAACUCGCUGCCUCAACUCCUGCGGUGGGACUCCGGAGCAGCGUACACCGCCCUUGCCUUAGUCCUCCCCAAGGCCAGGGCAGCUGUGCGGCCUGGCGCGGGUUACUUGGUGUGGUGCAAAAAGCCAGAAGGAGACACAUUUGGUCCUGGCCACCCCGGAGUCACCCAAACCAAAAGGUAAAAGGAACAUAAAAAAGCCUUCUGGAAAGUGUAAAAAAAUUCAUUGCACAGUGAUUUUUGUCUUGUGAAAUCAUAGUUACUGUUAUUAGCAGUUUUUUAAACGUUUUAUAUUCAUUUUUUAUGGUGUUCUGACAUAUGAGCUGCUUCAAGUGUUUUUGGACAUAGCUUGGGUGUAAAAUGUAAAAAGUGGAUAUUUUCAAUUUGUAGCUUUCUUUUUUGAAACUUACUGAAGUUUGUUCUAAAUAUAUCCCCUUCUUUCUCACCUACCCCAACACAUUUUUAAAAAAAACACCACCAAAUAUCCAUUACAGCAUUGAUGUGAGUGUAGAUGAAGUAAAAACUUUGGCUUCCCUGAUGACA
ensembl:lncRNA GLUD1P3 glutamate dehydrogenase 1 pseudogene 3